AGAGUUUGAUCAUGGCUCAGGACGAACGCUUGCGGCGUGCCUAAGAAAUGCAAGUCGAGCGGGAGAAGGACUUCGGUCUGGAUCUAGCGGCGAACGGUCGCGUAACACGUAGGCAACCUGCCCCAAAGCCCGGGAUAACGGGGGGAAACUUCCGCUAAUACCGGAUGUGGUCACUCUCUCGCAUGGGAGGGUGAGUAAAUCAAGCAAUUGGCUUUGGGAGGGGCCUGCGGCCUAUCAGCUAGAUGGUGUGGUAACGGCGCACCAUGGCGACGACGGGUAGCUGGUCUGAGAGGAUGGUCAGCCGGACUGGGACUGAGACACGGCCCAGACUCCUACGGGGGGCAGCAAUUAGGAAUCUUGCGCAAUGGGCGAAAGCCUGACGCAGCGACGCCGCGUGGAGGAGGACGGCCUUCGGGUUGUAAACUCCUUUUGUCAAGGAAGAAGGAUGUGACGGUACUUGACGAAUAAGCCCCGGCUAACUCCGUGCCAGCAGCCGCGGUAAUACGGAGGGGGCGAGCGUUGUCCGAAGUUACUGGGCGUAAAGCGCGCGUAGGCGGGGGGGAAAGUCCGCUGUGAAAGCCCGAGGCUCAACCUCGGCGGGUCGGUGGAUACUUCCUCUCUUGAAGGUGCUAGGGGGAGAUGGAAUUACCGGUGUAGCGGUGAAAUGCGUAGAUAUCGGUAGGAACACCAGUGGCGAAGGCGGUCUCCUGGGGCAUUCUUGACGCUGAGGCGCGAAAGCUGGGGGAGCGAACGGGAUUAGAUACCCCGGUAGUCCCAGCCCUAAACGAUGGAUACUAGGUGUCGGGGGUAUCGACCCCCCCGGUGCCGCCUCUAACGCAGUAAGUAU
rnacentral:rRNA from 1 species